rnacentral:lncRNA from 1 species
UUUAUUUUUUUCUCAUAGUAAAGCUUGCAUAUUCUAUGAAGGUAAGUCUUGAGCUGAUCCACAUUAUUUGAUUGUAUCUUUCGUGCAUCUCUCUUCUUCCUUUCUCUUGUGGUAUCUAUAUCAUCACCAGCAUUUACGAUCUUGGAUGGAGAUUCGUAUUCCGCACUUGUGAUAGAAAUUCUCCCAACAUAAAAAAUAUAGAAAGCCAUCAUCAAAUAUUUAUUAGAAAUCUAAAUCCUAUGGUUAAAAGGCUUCCCUAAGCUCCAAAGAGGUGAUUUUUUUUUUUUUU